UCCUACGGGAGGCAGCAGUAGGGAAUCUUGCGCAAUGGGCGAAAGCCUGACGCAGCGACGCCGCGUGGGGGAAGAAGGCCUUCGGGUUGUAAACCUCUUUCAGGAGGGACGAAGCCACUCGGGUUAAUAGCCCAGAGGGUGACGGUACUUCCAGAAGAAGCCCCGGCUAACUACGUGCCAGCAGCCGCGGUAAUACGUAGGGGGCAAGCGUUGUCCGGAUUUAUUGGGCGUAAAGCGCGUGUAGGCGGCCAGGUAGGUCUGCUGUGAAAACUCGAGGCUCAACCUCGAGCUGUCGGCGGAAACCCUCUGGCUAGAGUCCGGAAGAGGAGAGUGGAAUUCCUGGUGUAGCGGUGAAAUGCGCAGAUAUCAGGAAGAACACCCAUGGCGAAGGCAGCUCUCUGGGACGGUACUGACGCUGAGACGCGAAAGCGUGGGGAGCAAACGGGAUUAGAUACCCCGGUAGUCCUGGCAGUAAACGGUGCACGUUUGGUGUGGGAGGAUUCGACCCCUUCUGCGCCGGAGCUAACGCGUUAAACGUGCCGCCUGGGGAGUACGGUCGCAAGAUUAAAACUCAAAGAAAUUGACGGGGGCCCGCACAAGCGGUGGAGUAUGUGGCUCAAUUCGAUGCAACGCGAAGAACCUUACCAGGCCUUGACAUGCAUCUCUAAGUUGGUGAAAGCCAGCGAGUCCCGCAAGGGAUAAUUUGCACAGGUGCUGCAUGGCUGUCGUCAGCUCGUGUCGUGAGAUGUUGGGUUAAGUCCCGCAACGAGCGCAACCCCUGUGAACUGUUGCCACGGAACCGAGAGGUUCCAGCACUCUGUUCAGACUGCCCCGCUUUAACGGGGAGGAAGGUGGGGACGACGUCAAGUCAGUAUGGCCCUUACGGCCUGGGCUGCACACGUACUACAAUGCCCAGCACAGAACGAUCCGAGACCGCGAGGUGGAGGAAAUCACUAAAACUGGGCCCAGUUCAGAUUGAAGUCUGCAACUCGACUUCAUGAAGCCGGAAUCGCUAGUAAUGGCGCAUCAG
rnacentral:rRNA from 1 species